rfam:Photobacterium sp. 13-12 C2033, whole genome shotgun sequence.
CGAUCAGCACUACCACCACCAUUAUUAUUACCGGCACCAUGCGUGUUGGGGCGGGCUGAUACGCAUAAGAUUUGAGAAAAAGCCCGCACUCAAAAAGUGCGGGCUUUUUUUUA